rnacentral:rRNA from 2 species
UACAGAGGUGGCAAGCGUUGUUCGGAAUUACUGGGCGUAAAGGGCGCGUAGGCGGCCUUCUAAGUCAGACGUGAAAUCCCCCGGCUUAACCUGGGAACUGCGUCUGAUACUGGGGGGCUUGAGUAUGGGAGAGGGAUGUAGAAUUCCAGGUGUAGCGGUGAAAUGCGUAGAUAUCUGGAGGAAUACCGGUGGCGAAGGCGGCAUCCUGGACCAUUACUGACGCUGAGGCGCGAAAGCUAGGGGAGCAAACGGG